AACGAACGCUGGCGGCGUGCUUAACACAUGCAAGUCGAACGAGAAAGCACCUUCGGGUGUGAGUAGAGUGGCGCACGGGUGAGUAAUGCAUAGGAACGUACCUUUAGGAGGGGGAUAACCACAGGAAACUGUGGCUAAUACCGCGUAAUCUCGCAAGAGCAAAGGUGGCCUCUACUUGUAAGCUACCGCCUAAAGAUCGGCCUAUGUCCCAUUAGCUUGUUGGUGAGGUAACGGCCCACCAAGGCGACGAUGGGUAGCUGGUCUGAGAGGAUGAUCAGCCACACUGGGACUGAGACACGGCCCAGACUCCUACGGGAGGCAGCAGUGGGGAAUUUUGCACAAUGGGCGCAAGCCUGAUGCAGCAACGCCGCGUGAGUGAAGAAGGCUCUUGGGUCGUAAAGCUCUUUCGGCUGGGAAGCAGGGGUCAUGUAAAAAUAUUGCAUGGCUUUGACGGUACCAGAAGAAGAAGCACCGGCUAACUCCG
rnacentral:rRNA from 1 species